UACGGAGGGUGCGAGCGUUGUCCGGAAUCAUUGGGCGUAAAGCGCGCGUAGGUGGCCAUGUAAGUCCGUUGUGAAAGUCAAAGGCUCAACCUUUGAAAGCCGAUGGAUACUGCAUGGCUAGAGUACGGAAGAGGCGAGUGGAAUUCCUGGUGUAGCGGUGGAAUGCGCAGAUAUCAGGAGGAACACCAAUAGCGAAGGCAGCUCGCUGGGACGUUACUGACACUGAGGCGCGAAAGCGUGGGGAGCGAACAGG
rnacentral:rRNA from 1 species